rnacentral:rRNA from 1 species
UACGUAGGGGGCUAGCGUUGUCCGGAAUCAUUGGGCGUAAAGAGCGUGUAGGCGGUCCGGUAAGUCCGCUGUGAAAGUCGGGGGGCUCAACCCUCGAAUGCCGGUGGAUACUGUCGGGCUAGAGUGCGGAAGGGGCGAGUGGAAUCCUGGUGUAGCGGUGAAAUGCGCAGAUAUCAGGAGGAACACCAAUGGCGAAGGCAGCUCGCUGGGACGGUAUUGACGCUGAGACGCGAAGACGUGG